GACGAACGCUGGCGGCGUGCUUAACACAUGCAAGUCGAGCGGUAAGGCCCUUUCGGGGGUACACGAGCGGCGAACGGGUGAGUAACACGUGGGUGACCUGCCCUCAGCUCUGGGAUAAGCCUGGGAAACCCGGGUCUAAUACUGGAUAUGACUCCAUGACGCAUGUUGUGGGGUGGAAAGCCUUGUGCGGCUGAGGAUGGGCCCGCGGCCUAUCAGCUUGUUGGUGGGGUGAUGGCCUACCAAGGCGACGACGGGUAGCCGGCCUGAGAGGGCGACCGGCCACACUGGGACUGAGACACGGCCCAGACUCCUACGGGAGGCAGCAGUGGGGAAUCUUGCGCAAUGGGCGAAAGCCUGACGCAGCGACGCCGCGUGAGGGAUGACGG
rnacentral:rRNA from 1 species